GAUGAACGCUGGCGGUAUGCUUGACACAUGCAAGUCGAACGGGGUGCAUAGUCACCUAGUGGCGGACGGGUGAGUAACGCGUGAGAAUCUGGCCUCAGGUCCGGGACAACCACGGGAAACGGUGGCUAAUACCGGAUGUGCCAUAUUGGUGAAAGAUUAAUUGCCUGAGGAUGAGCUCGCGUCUGAUUAGCUAGUUGGUGGGGUAAAGGCUUACCAAGGCGACGAUCAGUAACUGGUCUGAGAGGAUGACCAGUCACACUGGGACUGAGACACGGCCCAGACUCCUACGGGAGGCAGCAGUGGGGAAUUUUCCGCAAUGGGCGAAAGCCUGACGGAGCAAGACCGCGUGAGGGAGGAAGGCUCUUGGGUUGUAAACCUCUUUUCUCAGGGAAGAAGAAUGACGGUACCUGAGGAAUCAGCAUCGGCUAACUCCGUG
rnacentral:rRNA from 1 species